rnacentral:rRNA from 1 species
GACGAACGCUGGCGGCGUGCCUAAUACAUGCAAGUCGAGCGAACCAAUAGGAGCUUGCUCCUGUUGGUUGGCGGCGGACGGGUGAGUAACACGUGGGCAACCUGCCUGUAAGACUGGGAUAACACCGGGAAACCGGUGCUAAUACCGGAUAAUCUUUUUCCUCUCAUGAGGAAAAACUGAAAGUCGGUUUCGGCUGACACUUACAGAUGGGCCCGCGGCGCAUUAGCUAGUUGGUGAGGUAACGGCUCACCAAGGCGACGAUGCGUAGCCGACCUGAGAGGGUGAUCGGCCACACUGGGACUGAGACACGGCCCAGACUCCUACGGGAGGCAGCAGUAGGGAAUCUUCCACAAUGGACGAAAGUCUGAUGGAGCAACGCCGCGUGAGCGAUGAAGGCCUUCGGGUCGUAAAGCUCUGUUGUUAGGGAAGAACAAGUACCGGAGUAACUGCCGGUGCCUUGACGGUACCUAACCAGAAAGCCACGGCUAACUACGUGCCAGCAGCCGCCGUAA